GACGAACGCUGGCGGCGUGCUUAACACAUGCAAGUCGAACGGAGAGGCCCUGCUUUUGUGGGGUGCUCGAGUGGCGAACGGGUGAGUAACACGUGAGUAACCUGCCCUUGACUUUGGGAUAACUUCAGGAAACUGGGGCUAAUACCGGAUAGGAGCUCCUGCUGCAUGGUGGGGGUUGGAAAGUUUCGGCGGUUGGGGAUGGACUCGCGGCUUAUCAGCUUGUUGGUGGGGUAGUGGCUUACCAAGGCUUUGACGGGUAGCCGGCCUGAAAGGGUGACCGGCCACAUUGGGACUGAGAUACGGCCCAGACUCCUACGGGAGGCAGCAGUGGGGAAUAUUGCACAAUGGGCGGAAGCCUGAUGCAGCAACGCCGCGUGCGGGAUGACGGCCUUCGGGUUGUAAACCGCUUUCGCCUGUGACGAAGCGUGAGUGACGGUAAUGGGUAAAGAAGCACCGGCUAACUACGUGCCAGCAGCCGCGGUGAUACGUAGGGUGCGAGCGUUGUCCGGAUUUAUUGGGCGUAAAGGGCUCGUAGGUGGUUGAUCGCGUCGGAAGUGUAAUCUUGGGGCUUAACCCUGAGCGUGCUUUCGAUACGGGUUGACUUGAGGAAGGUAGGGGAGAAUGGAAUUCCUGGUGGAGCGGUGGAAUGCGCAGAUAUCAGGAGGAACACCAGUGGCGAAGGCGGUUCUCUGGGCCUUUCCUGACGCUGAGGAGCGAAAGCGUGGGGAGCGAACAGGCUUAGAUACCCUGGUAGUCCACGCUGUAAACGGUGGGUACUAGGUGUGGGGUCCAUUCCACGGGUUCCGUGCCGUAGCUAACGCUUUAAGUACCCCGCCUGGGGAGUACGGCCGCAAGGCUAAAACUCAAAGGAAUUGACGGGGCCCCGCACAAGCGGCGGAGCAUGCGGAUUAAUUCGAUGCAACGCGUAGAACCUUACCUGGGUUUGACAUGGAUCGGGAGUGCUCAGAGAUGGGUGUGCCUCUUUUGGGGUCGGUUCACAGGUGGUGCAUGGCUGUCGUCAGCUCGUGUCGUGAGAUGUUGGGUUAAGUCCCGCAACGAGCGCAACCCUUGUUCACUGUUGCCAGCACGUUAUGGUGGGGACUCAGUGGAGACCGCCGGGGUCAACUCGGAGGAAGGUGGGGAUGACGUCAAGUCAUCAUGCCCCUUAUGUCCAGGGCUUCACGCAUGCUACAAUGGCUGGUACAGAGAGUGGCGAGCCUGUGAGGGUGAGCGAAUCUCGGAAAGUCGGUCUCAGUUCGGAUUGGGGUCUGCAACUCGACCUCAUGAAGUCGGAGUCGCUAGUAAUCGCAGAUCAGCAACGCUGCGGUGAAUACGUUCCCGGGGCU
rnacentral:rRNA from 1 species